AGAGUUUGAUCCUGGCUCAGGAUGUUGCUGGCGGCGUGCUUAACACAUGCAAGUCGAACGGUGAAGCCAAGCUUGCUUGGUGGAUCAGUGGCGAACGGGUGAGUAACACGUGAGCAACCUGCCCUGGACUCUGGGAUAAGCGCUGGAAACGGCGUCUAAUACUGGAUAUGAGCUCUCAUCGCAUGGUGGGGGUUGGAAAGAUUUUUCGGUCUGGGAUGGGCUCGCGGCCUAUCAGCUUGUUGGUGAGGUAAUGGCUCACCAAGGCGUCGACGGGUAGCCGGCCUGAGAGGGUGACCGGCCACACUGGGACUGAGACACGGCCCAGACUCCUACGGGAGGCAGCAGUGGGGAAUAUUGCACAAUGGGCGGAAGCCUGAUGCAGCAACGCCGCGUGAGGGAUGACGGCCUUCGGGUUGUAAACCUCUUUUAGCAGGGAAGAAGCGAGAGUGACGGUACCUGCAGAAAAAGCGCCGGCUAACUACGUGCCAGCAGCCGCGGUAAUACGUAGGGCGCAAGCGUUAUCCGGAAUUAUUGGGCGUAAAGAGCUCGUAGGCGGUUUGUCGCGUCUGCUGUGAAAUCCCGAGGCUCAACCUCGGGCCUGCAGUGGGUACGGGCAGACUAGAGUGCGGUAGGGGAGAUUGGAAUUCCUGGUGUAGCGGUGGAAUGCGCAGAUAUCAGGAGGAACACCGAUGGCGAAGGCAGAUCUCUGGGCCGUAACUGAUGCUGAGGAGCCAAAGGGUGGGGAGCAAACAGGCUUAGAUACCCUGGUAGUCCACCCCGUAAACGUUGGGAACUAGUGUGGGGACCAUUCCACGGUUUCCGUGACGCAGCUAACGCAUUAAGUUCCCCGCCUGGGGAGUACGGCCGCAAGGCUAAAACUCAAAGGAAUUGACGGGGACCCGCACAAGCGGCGGAGCAUGCGGAUUAAUUCGAUGCAACGCGAAGAACCUUACCAAGGCUUGACAUACACCAGAACACCGUAGAAAUACGGGACUCUUUGGACACUGGUGAACAGGUGGUGCAUGGUUGUCGUCAGCUCGUGUCGUGAGAUGUUGGGUUAAGUCCCGCAACGAGCGCAACCCUCGUUCUAUGUUGCCAGCACGUAAUGGUGGGAACUCAUGGGAUACUGCCGGGGUCAACUCGGAGGAAGGUGGGGAUGACGUCAAAUCAUCAUGCCCCUUAUGUCUUGGGCUUCACGCAUGCUACAAUGGCCGGUACAAAGGGCUGCAAUACCGUGAGGUGGAGCGAAUCCCAAAAAGCCGGUCCCAGUUCGGAUUGAGGUCUGCAACUCGACCUCAUGAAGUCGGAGUCGCUAGUAAUCGCAGAUCAGCAACGCUGCGGUGAAUACGUUCCCGGGUCUUGUACACACCGCCCGUCAAGUCAUGAAAGUCGGUAACACCUGAAGCCGGUGGCCCAACCCUUGUGGAGGGAGCCGUCGAAGGUGGGAUCGGUAAUUAGGACUAAGUCGUAACAAGGUAACCGUA
rnacentral:rRNA from 1 species